AAGAGAGCCAGACAAGAUCCCCUACUUUGUAAGGAGGGGGAAUUCUUCUUUUAUUGUCAAAAAACUUUUUCUGGUAGUUUUGAGCGAGUUGAAGAUUCUCCCGUAAUUUGAGGAAUAGAGAGGACAUAAAUUCAUUUUUUGAUGUAACCGUAGGAUUGGAUGAAGUAAUAGUUUGGAUGGGAAAUGAGGACGGAUGAAAACCAUAGUUGGAGAAGAAAGGAGUCAUUUUCGUACUAGAAUGAAUGGUAUUGUUGUAAGAAAAUUCAGCCAUAGGUAACCAUGUGGUCCAGUCAUCUUGCAGGUAUGAACAAUAACAUCGGAGAUAUUGUUCCAAACAUUGAUUAACUCUCUCUGUUUUCCCAUUAGUUUGGGGAUGAUAGGCGGAAGAGAGUUUGCGUUGAAUUUGAAGAGAGAGACACAUCUCCUUCCAGAAUUUGGAGGUAAAUUGUGUCCCCCUAUCAGAAAUAAUUUCUUCUGG